ensembl:lncRNA
UCUCACUUUCAUUCCAUGCCCUCCUGGGGUAAAGGUUUCAUUUACUCUAAUGAGGCAUACUGGAGUGCUGUCAGAGUUUGGAAGGGUUUAAUAAAGACAGAGGAGAAGCUGUCAAUGAAGUAGGAGAGGUUAAAAAUAUUACUUACAGAAAAAAGGUCUGCGUUGAGAAAAAUUAAACUGAACUUGUAAUACUAAGACACUGCAACAUGCUUUUUAGGAUGACAUCAUGGAAGUUUGAGAUGGAGAAUGGCACUUUUACGGCACUUGUCUUCCUCCUAGUCUUCACAUUUAAUGAUGCAUCAUGAAAGCCUUUGCCAGAAUCCAGGUUGUGCCCUUGACCUUCUCAGCCUGCAGAACUAGAUUGGUUCGGGGUGCUCAAAGGACCAAUCAGAGCCAUUGUGAUGCAGUGAGAUUUUGCUGGGACUUUGAGAGUGACAGUCCUCUUCUUCCAAGUAUGCAAAUAGCACUGGGACUAAUAAAACUCACCACUGAAUGACAUAAAAAGCCUACAAGAGCAGCCAACAGAAAAAAUAAAGCAUUAAGACACAAAGGGAAAUUUAGUCCUUUUGUUAUUAAUAUGAGUCUCUUUACAAUAAUGGAUUUGAAGCCAGUUCUAUUCCUGGACAUGCUAGUUAUGUUAGCCUUUAUAAUCUGCUUUGUUUUUGCAAUCUUACCCAUUUUAAUUAAUGCAAUUUUAUAGGAAAGCACUACCAAAGAGAGACUUUUACAAUGCUUUUUCAAAUCCCUUACCCACUCUUUCCCUCAGCUAGAAGUACAAGUGACUUAUCCAAGGGGAUGAUGGGUAAAGGUUACUGCUGAUGUUCAGCAGAAUUAGUUGGUUCUGGCUCCCUCUCCCUCUGUUUUCUCUCUCCUUCUAUGUUGGUCAUUCAAAUUGGUAAGAAGGACUGAACUCGAUCUUAAGAAGUAAAUAUAUACAUCAUGGCCCAAUGUACUGGCCCUAUGUAUUUUCAGUAGGUACAUCUGCAAAUAAGUGAACAAUUCAAUCUUUAGUAUAUAGGAACACAAAUUUAAGCAUUUGAUUCAAACUACAAUCAUUAAAUUAAAAUCACUAAAAUUAAAAAAAACAUUUGUAGGAUUGAGAUUAAUUGAAGGGCUUUACAAAAAUUGGUGAGCUCUUUGGGUUAACAUUUGACUUAGGACCUGCAUGGUCAAAAGUUAGCCACCGUAUAACAAUGAGGGGUAAGAGUACUCUAGAGCAAAUAGUGCCAAAACUCUAAGGUUAAAGUGAGCUUGGUGAUGUGGUUUGCCUGUGUCCCAAUACAAAUCUCAUCUUGAAUUUUAGCUCCCAUAAUUCUCUCUUGUUGUAGUUGGGACCCAGUGGGAGAUAAUUGAAUCAUAGGGGCAGUUUCCUCCAUACUGUUUUCAUGGUCCUGAAUAAGUCUCACAAGGUGUGAUGGUUUUAUAAGGGAAAACCCCUUUCACUUGGCUCUCAUUUUCUCUUGCAUGACACCAGGUAAGAUGUGCUUUUCACCUUUUGCCAUAAUUGUGAGGCCACCCAGUCAUAUGAAUCUGUGAAUCCAUUAAACCUCUUUCUUUUGUAAAUUGCCAGUCUCAAGUAUGUUUUUAUCAGUAGCAUGAAUACAGAAUACACUUGGCAUACUUGAAGAAGGCAUAGAGUACCACCUUAGCUGUAAUUGUGGACAAACAACUAGUAAUAAAGACUGAGAUAAAAAAGAUUAACGGGGCUUGGAUUUUUUUUUUCAAUUGACUGUCAUGUCCCUGUGGGCCAAAUGCAUCAAUCAGAAGCCUGGAGGAAACAAAGUAUAGGGAUUCUGAACUGAAUCUACAAUUAGAAUUCUUCUUAUCAAUGAGUAUCAAAGGAACAUUUCUACUUAGCAUUCAAGAGACAUUGCAAACAAUAAUGCUUACGUGGUUGUGUGGACUUACAAAAAUGUUACAGGAAGGUGGAGACUUACAUGAGAGUGAUAAUAGUACCUGUCUUUAUCCUUUGGGCUGCUGUAACAAAAUACCAUAAACUGGAUAAUUAAUAAGCAAUUUAUCCCUCACAGUUCUGGAGGCUGGAAGGCCAAGAUCAAAGUGCCCACAGAGUCAGUGCCCGGUGAGAACACACUUUCUGGUUCAUAGACAGUAACUUCUAGCUGUGUUCCACAUGGUGAAAGGGCUAGAUACAUUGCAAGGGUUUAUUUUAUAAGAAUACUAAUUCUAUUCAUGAGCAUUCUUCCCUCAUGACCCAAUCAUUUCCCAAAUGCACCAUUUGUAUCAUCACAUUGGGUGAUUUGGUUUUAACAUACUAAUUUUGGGGGUAUGCAAGUAUUCAGACCCCAGCAGUAUCCACGACUCUUCCUGAUGAGGGAAGCACAUAUUUUGUUCCAAACACUCUAGUCGUGUAGCUCCUUUCUUGCCCAAUACAGUGUAAUGUAACAUACUUUCGAAGCUGCAAGAUUUCAGGCACCAGAGACUCAGAAUACAAGAUGCCAAUGCCCUAAAUGCAGGACCCUCAGAUUGCUGAUUUAGAACAGAGUACAAAUGCUAGGGAACCAACUGACAGUUGCCUGCAGAAAGUAGAUAAUUUACAAAAGUUGCCUGUGGAAAUCUACAAAAUCACAAUGACUUAACUCAACAGAGGUUUAGUUCUUUCUUACAUGAAAUAAAAG